UAGAAACAGUACUGUAUAAUGUAAUAGAAUAGUUACAGGACUGUAUAAUGUAACAGAAUAGUACAGGACUGUAUAAUGUAAUAGAAUAGUACAGGACUGUAUAAUGUAAUAUAAUAGUACAGGACUGUAUAAUGUAAUAGAAUAGUACAGGACUGUAUAAUGUAACAGAAUAGUACAGGACUGUAUAAUGUAACAGAAUAGUACAGGACUGUAUAAUGUAAUAUAAUAGUACAGGACUGUAUAAUGUAAUAGAAUAGUACAGUACUGUAUAAUGUAAUAGAAUAGUACAGGACUGUAUAAUGUAAUAGAAUAGUACAGUACUGUAUAAUGUCAUAGAAUAGUAAAGGACUGUAUAAUGUAAUGGAAUAGUAAAGGACUGUACAAUGUAAUAUAAUAGUAUAAUGUAACAGAAUAGUACAGGACUGCAUAAGGUAAUAUAAUAGUACAGUACUGUAUAAUGUAAUAGAAUAGUACAGUACUGUAUAAUGUAAUAGAAUAGUACAGUACUGUAUAAUGUAAUAUAAUGUCCAGGAAACCGGCCCUAAAUGUGUCAUCUUUCAUCCUCCCAUACUGCUCAGUCCAGCAACAUUAAACCUGUCCAGCAGGUGGUGAUGUUGACCAAACAAUAAAACCAGCAGAUAUCUUGACUUGCCACUCAGUAUAUCAGUAAUGUUCAGAAUAGUACCUGUACAUUCUCUGAUUCCAUAAUGUAAUAGAAUAGUACAGUACUGUAUAAUAUAAUAUAAUAGUUCAGUACUGUAUAAUGUAAUAGAAUAGUUCAGUACUGUAGAAUGUAAUAGAAUAGUUUAGUACUGUAGAAUAUAACAGAAUGGUACUGUAGAGUAUAAGUAUUGUUCCUGUGAGCGAACAUCAAGAAGAAAUUAAAACAUAUAUUUAUAAUAUUCUCAGCCUUCAUAUAAAAUAUGACUGGACAUCGAGGCUGUUUCAGAAAUACAAUGUUAUUGUGUUCAGAUUCUGUUCCAUGUUACUUAAAACAUGAAUGGAAAAAUAUUUAACAUAAAAAUGAUUUACAAUGUUCCCCCUCUUUGAGAUGAUUCUGUAUUAUGAAAAGUGCUUGACAAAUGUAAUUUAUUAUUAUUAUUAUUAUUAUCUUAUUCAUCAUAGUUUAAAAGGCAAAACUGACUCUAGAUCAGCACUCCAACUAAGUGGGAAUACAGUAGUCCUGUGGCUCAGUUGGUAGAGUAUGGUGAAUGGGUCCCAAUGGGACCACCGGCAUGAAAGAUGUAUCCACACAUAAUAAGUCACUUUGGUUAAAAGUGUUUCUAAAUGGCAUAUCUUAUGAUAUAAUAAUAUCACUUAGUUGGACUAUACAGGUCCAGAUAUACAGGGUUUAUGUCAAACUUGUGUUCAGGUCCUCUUGGUUCUGGGUUUGUUGUGUUCAGGUCCUCUUGGUUCUGGGUUUGUUGAGUUCAGGUCCUCUUGGUUCUGGGUUUGUUGUGUUCAGGUCCUCUUGGUUCUGGGUUUGGUGUGUUCAGGUCUUCUUGGUUCUGGGUUUGUUGUGUUCAGGUCCUCUUGGUUCUGGGUUUGUUGUGUUCAGGUCCUCUUGGUUCUGGGUUUGUUGAGUUCAGGUCCUCUUGGUUCUGGGUUUGUUGUGUUCAGGUCCUCUUGGUUCUGGGUUUGUUGUGUUCAGGUACUCUUGGUUCUGGGUUUGGUGAGUUCAGGUCCUCUUGGUUCAGGGUUUGUUGUGUUCAGGUUCUCUUGGUUCUGGGUUUGUUGCGCUCAGGUCUUCUUGGUUCAGGGUUUGUUGUGUUCAGGUUCUCUUGGUUCUGGGUUUGGUGAGUUCAGGUCCUCUUGGUUCAGGGUUUGUUGUGUUCAGGUUCUCUUGGUUCUGGGUUUGUUGCGUUCAGGUCUUCUUGGUUCAGGGUUUGUUGUGUUCAGGUUCUCUUGGUUCUGGGUUUGUUGCGUUCAGGUCUUCUUGGUUCUGGGUUUGUUGCGUUCAGGUCUUUUUGGUUCUGGGUUUGUUGCGUUCAGGUCUUCUUGGUUCUGGGUUUGUUGCGUUCAGGUCUUCUUGGUUCUGGGUUUGUUGCGUUCAGGUCUUUUUGGUUCUGGGUUUGUUGUGUUCAGGUCUUCUGGGUUUGUUGACUCUACUAUAGAUCUCAGAAGAGUCCUCCUCAGCUGCUUGUGCUGCCGUGGGUCUGAAGAGAGAGAAACAGAAAUUUAACAGAAUCUGCAUCCCCCUAAAAAACCUUCAUAUACUCUUUUUAGUGCAUUACUUUGACCAAGGCCUAUAUGGCUCUGGUGAAAAGUAG
ensembl:lncRNA